CACAGACUGUUUAGUCUGUUUAGUAUUUGGAAUGAACAAUUUAACCUCAGCUGCAAAACUAGGCUAGAGUUCAUAUUCUUGUAAUUGUUAUUACAGUUUCCAUGCUAUCUAAUCCUUUUAAUGCAAAUAUGCAAAUAACUUAAUAUGCAUACCAUAUUAAAGGGACCUUUAAAACAACGAGGCCGGGCGCAGUGGUUCACGCCUGUAAUCCCAGCACUUUGGGAGGCCGAGGCAGGCGAUCACCUGAGGUCAGGAGUUCGAGACCGCCUGGCCAACUUAGUGAAACCCCAUUUCUACUAAAAAUACAAAAAUUAGCCAGUGUGGUGACAUAUGCCUAUAGUCCCAGCUACUCGGGAGGCUGAAGCAGGAGAAUCACUUCAACACGGGAGGCGGAGGUUGCAGUGAGCAGAGACCGUGCCACUGUACUCCAACCUGGGCAACAGAGAAAGACUCCAUCUCAAAAAUAAAUAAAUAAAUAAAACAAUAUGAAAUGAGUUUGCCAGUGACUAUUUACAAAAGCAGAAAUCUAAGUGCUAAAGUUUGUUAAAUUGAGUGGAAGGCAAAUAAAGGCCCAUAGUUACAGUAUUAAGUAGACUUCAGAUAAAUUGAUAUUGCUGUCAUUUGUAUGUUAUAACCAUGAUUCAAAUACUGGAGGAAGAAUUAUCUUUCACAUAAAAAGCUUUUACAGGUGUUAAGAUGUAGAGUCUGUCUUCUAGGCUUAAAAUAGCUUCUUUCAUAAUUUUUUAAACAUAUGCCUUUUCAUUCAGGACAGCAGGGGGCAGCUUUAUUAGCAACGUUGAUCAGUUAAACAGUAAGUUAUUGUAAACAUCUUGUACUGCACAUUUUACCCUAAUCGGGUGGAGUCAACAAACAAAUAUCUCAAGAAGCCAGCUGGGUUCAAGUUUCAACCAAUACUUGAGAGUCUCUUUCUUAUGUUCACCUUGGGAGGCCAGUACCCAGAGCUUCAGCGAGGGGAUGAAGAGGAGAAGGAGGAAGAGAAUUCCAAGUAUGUGGCAACAUGCGUGUUUGGAGCCAGACUUCUGAGAAGAUGCCCUCAAUCACCCACAGCCUCUUUACGAGUUUUCCCCUCCAAUGUGACUUCAGUUAUUAAGAUGUCCCAAGUGAUUAGACUCACCAGCAGCCUCCUAAAUACUCAGCCAAGGAAACCUGAUAUGCUUGGGAGAGGCUAUUCGGGGGAGAAUACUUGGCAGUGGUAAAAGAAGCCUUAUGUCUGCAGAACUUUAUUCACUUCUCAGAAGUCCUUUGACUCUAUGAUAUGAGGAAGUCACUCUAAAUCUCUUUGUCUCUCUCUAACUGCAGAGGCAACAGUACCUCAUUACAGGAACUCUGUGUGAAAAAUAUUACAAAAUAUUAACAAAAUGCUUUGAAUUUCUUGUGUAUUUCACCACAUUAGAUCUAGCAAACUACCAUCCCUCACCUAGGGCAGAG
rnacentral:lncRNA from 1 species